AACGAACGCUGGCGGCAGGCUUAACACAUGCAAGUCGAGCGCCCCGCAAGGGGAGCGGCAGACGGGUGAGUAACGCGUGGGAACCUACCCAUCUCUACGGAAUAACGCAUGGAAACGUGUGCUAAUACCGUAUACGUCCUUCGGGAGAAAGGUUUAUCGGAGAUGGAUGAGCCCGCGUUGGAUUAGCUAGUUGGUGGGGUAAAGGCCUACCAAGGCGACGACCCAUAGCUGGUCUGAGAGGAUGAUCAGCCACACUGGGACUGAGACACGGCCCAGACUCCUACGGGAGGCAGCAGUGGGGAAUAUUGGACAAUGGGCGCAAGCCUGAUCCAGCCAUGCCGCGUGAGUGAUGAAGGCCCUAGGGUUGUAAAGCUCUUUCACCGGUGAAGAUAAUGACGGUAACCGGAGAAGAAGCCCCGGCUAACUUCGUGCCAGCAGCCGCCGUAAUAC
rnacentral:rRNA from 1 species